rnacentral:piRNA from 1 species
UUACGAGUGGAACGACACGGCCGGCGC